rnacentral:lncRNA from 1 species
AAACCCUGUCUCGAAAAACCAAAAAAACAAAACAAAACAAACAAACAAAAAAGAAACCCUAAAAAAAAAAAAAAAAAAGAAUCCAGCUUGAAUUUUCAUUAGGAUUUUAUUAAAACAUAGGCAAAUUUGGAUAAUACUGCCAUCUUAACAAUAUUAAAUAAAGUAUAUUUACAUAAAGAUUCACUAGAAUAACAAGCUUAUAUAUUUACAUAAAUACUAUAUUGUAUGAACAAUAACUUUAAAACAAUGACAUUGAUUUUGUUUUUUCCUUAAUUCUACUCUGGCACUUUCCCUGAUAGGAUAUGUGGUUUUGAUUAAACUAUAAAUGAUAUAUGAAUAUGCAGAAUGUGGCUCAGAGGUAAAGCCCUUGUCUAAUAUGAGUAAGGCCUCUGACUUUUAAUCCUGGCAGAAUGUGCAUAUCAGGAACACAUACAUAAACACAAACACAGAAGAGCACAGUUUAGUGAUGCAAAUAGACAGGGGAGAACCAGAUGGACCUUUUGAACGAAUCUUCAUGACCCCAUAGUGGACCUUAGACUAAACUUAUGAGAAGUACUUACCCAAUGGAAACCUUCAGACCUGGCUGAAAGAAUCUCCUGCUAUUUAGGAGCUAGUGUAUAAUUUUGAGCAAGUUGCAGUCAGUCUAUACCAAGACUUGAGUUGAAUUCACAUACCUUUCUGUUACACUAAUCUUUGGUUUGGCAGAGUUUUGAAGAAUUAGUUUGUUUUAAGAUUUUUUUUUUACUUAGGUGUUUGUGACUGUUCUCCAUAUGUGUGAGUUACUGCAAAAGUCAAAAGAGGGUAGGAGAUGCCUGUACCUGGAGUUACAGCAGUUGUCUUUUUUAUACUCGAUGAGGAUGCUGAGAACCAAGUAUGGCUAAAGUAGUAGUUACUCCUAAAUGCCAAGCCAUCCCUUCAGCCUUAUUUGUUCUUAGACAAGGUUUUUCAGUUGUCAUGGAUGAACUCAAGUUGAUGUUCUUGUCUCCCCUCCCAACUGUGCCAGUGUGACUAAUUUUGUUGUUUGGUUUUGUUUUUUCCUGGAUAGGAUUUCUUAGUGUACUGGCUAUUCUAGAAUUCUCUCUGUAGAGCAGAUUGGUCUUGAACUCAGAGAUCCUCUUGCCACUGCCUCCUGAGAGCUGGAAUUAAAGGUGUGCACCUCUACCACCCUCAGUCAUGGGGCUAAUUUUUUUUAAUUGUACUCU